AGGGGCGGGCACCGCGGCACGGCCGCUCCUCUACGCUGUCGCCAUGCUGGGGGCGGCCCCGCGCUGGGAGCGGGCGGCUCACGGCGCCUUCCUUCCCCCUGCGCGGCGGGGUGUUGGAACCCGGAGCGGAGCCGCCCGCCCCUCUCCUCACGCAAGGUGCGGGGCGGCGCUGAGGGCGAGGCCGGCGGCGGAGCCGGUCUCCGCAAUGCCCUCACGGGGUGAGGCGAUACCCUGCUCGGACCGGGGGAAGGAGGAGAAGGGAAGGGGUUAAAGCCUCAACCGCCGCCGGCAGCCGGUGCUGCGGCCGUUAGGGGCGGAGGCGGGAGCGAGGGCCGCGGCGAGCCGAGUUGCGUCUGUCCGUGUGACUCGCUGAGGGGCGGCCGUAGUGGUUCUAAUACAGUGUGCAGCCACCAAGUUUGUCUGUGUCGUUCCUCGGGGUGCCCGGGUGGGGAGGAAGGUUGUCCUGACGCGGCUCCUGGCGAGCAGUGGCAUCUCGGAUAAGCCAUGUAACAAGGUUGGUGCAGCCCUGAGGUCGGCUCAUGGCCGGGAGGAUGGAGGCUGUCCUCACUCAUUGGAGUCUCCCGGUUGCUGAAUGCAAUACACAGAUAGAAACUGCGCCCAAAUUGCUGUGAAUUGUACCUGUGUGGCUGACGGGCUCGGUUUGCUCAAAGUGAAACAAGUCAAGAGCAGAAAUACUCGGUUUCUUAAUGAUGCUUUGUGACACAGUGCGGCCCACAGCUUGGUGUGCUAGAAGAGCUACCUCUGCUUGAACGGUGGAGGAGGCAAAAAUCUCAGAGAUUUCAACAGGAAAAGCCUGAGAUCCCGUUAAUGUUCCCACAGAAGGAAAAGCUGCCAUAGGAAUUCCUCCUCUUUCACUCGAUUCCAAGAAUUCACAUGGGUAAAGGAUGUUGCAGACAUGACUCAUAAUUUCUGCUGCUUGCAGAACGCUCGUUGCCUGUUUCACCCUGUUAGAGGCCAGUGUGCUCGGAGCUGUUAGUGCGUUCUUAGCAUCUCCACUGGCUGUUAGGACAAACAGCGCUUUGGAAGUACUGCAUUGCUACACAGUACCAUGGUACCAUCUGUAUUUUCCUUAUGGUGAUCCUAAGAGUUGAGCAGGUAUUAAAUAGAUCCUAUUUGGUUACGAGUGACCUUGUAUUCAAUUUAAAAUUAAACAGUAAAGCCUGUGGGGGAAAAAUAGGCCUGAAGACAUCUGAAGAGUUAUUCAGUGGUACAGUCAGAAAAUUAACAGCAUAGAGUAUCUCACAGAAAAGGGCUCAGCUGCAGACAGCAACAGGACAGCCCCUGCCUCCACAGAAAGUGUGGAUAUUCCCAGUGAGAUAUGAUUUUCCUUUCGCUUCUGUUUUUGCUUUGCACCUGGGGUGUUUAAUGUUUGCAGAUCUCACUAUCAAGUGUGAAUCUAAACAGGACACACACCCCAGUGAACACAUGUGUCUUCAGAAGAGCAGCUAGAUUUCUCACCUCCAUCUUUUCUGCAUGCUCUUAUUAAUGGUUGAAUAGAUACAUACAGAAAUUUGCUCUGUAUAGAAUAGAACAGUUAAGUUUUCAAGCUAACAUUUCUUCUAAUGAAUGACUACCUACAAGCAGUAAGUCUUGUAGAGGCAAGUACCUGGCACUGUAGUUUCCACCCAUUUGUUCAUUAAUAUGCUUCAGAAGUAGUUUGCAUAAAAAUUUCAAUUUCCUACCCAGCGAAGAAAAUAAUCAUUGGCAAGAGGAGACGGUGUGCAGAGAAAGUAGAACGUGUUGCUGCUGACCAAAUUUCCACAGAUCUCAAGGACUCAGUGGAAAAUACACAGUUAUAUAAAAAUUAACUUCUGUAGGCCUACAUGGAUGAAUGCUGUUAUUAUUCUUGUAGAAACAUAUCUAAGGAAUCUUGUUCGUAAUUAAAUAAGCAUGAAAUAGGAACUAACCUUCUCGUUCCAGGAUAGUGGAAAAAAACUGGUUUAGACAGGCACAUGCACUUGCUAUUCUUUGUUAUUAACCGUGUGCCUCCAUUUUAGCUGUAGUCACACUACCUUGUUUAUCAGCAGCUCCCCACAGAUACUGAAAACAGAAACUUUUUAAGAGUUUGGUUAAUGAUAGAGGAAGCAAAACAGAAGUGUUUUGUUCCUCUAAAUUAAUACUUGUGUAAAGUACACAUGCUUUGCAUCUGCAGGUAGUUUUAGCCAUCUGGCAGACCACACUCUCCUCAGAUAUGUUCACAUCUGUGUGCUAAAUGAAAUAGGUUUCAUUUACCCUGUCCACAUGAUGGUGAAUUACACAUAAGCCUAUGGCAGCCAUCUUUUUGUGAAGCAUUUUGAUACCAGUGUAUAACCAGCUGGUAUACUGAGAGAUGUAGAAGACCUUGUUAUCCAAUGUCUUAGAUUUUUACUUGCAUUGAAUAACACUUUGCUCAUGUUGACUUUACUCCUGCAAAAAUCUAUGCAUCUACUUAUACCGACACAGUAAAAACAGUCCUGCUCUAUGCUGUGAUGAGUCUUCAUGGAUUAAAAAAGCUCAGCAGCUCUGAAUGUCUUCUAAGGUUUGGGUCCUAAAUUUAUUCUGGAAAUGUGUGGUUACUUAUGUUUUUACCGUGAGGAAGUUUGUCCUUGUUUUAGGAAGAUUGUUUAAAACCUUCUGCCUUGUGUUUGAAGCUUAUGCUUUUCUGAA